AUAGAUGGUGUGACUUUGAUAAUCUGCAGAUGAAAGAAAAUGCUCUGGUAAAUAAGGUCUUGACAUAAACAAGCUAUCUAAUAAAUACUUCUAUAUUUGGAAAUAAUGUAUGGACUGUCUACCCUCCGAGUAUUGUGGUAAUAUUAAUAGUUCAGGUUUCUGAAAAAUGAAGAAAACUCUGAAAAAAACUGAGAAAUUUACAGUUAAUGUACUCAAGCAUCAGUUUAAUCCUCAUAGAGUAAGAUAAAUUAACUGUGAAGAUUACUUUGAAAACCUUUAUGGAGAAAUAUUUGUUGCUACCCUAGAGAGAUUAUACCUGUUUAUUGUUCCUGGAAUUAAUUACAUAUUUUAGAUACUGAAUAUGAUGCUGAAAAGAAGAAAAAUCCUUGCAAGAUAUAAAACAAAGCUUUCUCAAGUUGAAGACGCCCUUCAAAAAGCAUC